GCCGCGGAGGAAGUUCACAGCGUGCGGCGCAGAGCGCUAACUGCACGGAGGUUCCGGGCUCGGGAGGCCCGCGGUCGGGAAUUUCCUAAAGGAAGCACCUCGCAGGGGCCCUCGGGGGGUCGGCGCGAGAGCUCGGGCUUGGAGGACCGGGUUCUAGACAGGAGUCAGAGUCUAAUUUCCCGCGGGACAUCCUCCAGAUCGCUUCCCUCAGUGGGCCUCGGUUUCCCGAUCUAUCAGCCGAGCUCGUCGCACCCGAUUAGGCCACUAACACUGGCCACAGUCCUCAGUGAAGUUGUGAAUGGUACCAGCUGAAGGGUGUCACGGCUGCAGUCGUUCAAGAUGGCGACACCCUUCAAGUUGAAGGUGGAGCGUUGUCUUCAAAACACAGAUGGAAGCUGGAGUGACUGCCAACAGCAUGCAUUCCUGAGGUGGUCUGAUGGAGUGUGGGGCCCUAGUGAGGGUGUGGUUCCCCAAGCAGGAGGCUUCUGCUC